GAGUUGCAAAACUCCCUAAACCAUUGUGAACGUUACCUAAACCGUUGCUUCGGCGGGCGGCCCGGGUCCUUCCCGGCGCCCCUCGGCCCUCGCGGGCGCCCGCCGGAGGAAAACCAAACUAUUGCAUUGUAUGGCCUCUCUGAGUCUUCUGUACUGAAUAAGUCAAAACUUUCAACAACGGAUCUCUUGGUUCUGGCAUCGAUGAAGAACGCAGCGAAAUGCGAUAAGUAAUGUGAAUUGCAGAAUUCAGUGAAUCAUCGAAUCUUUGAACGCACAUUGCGCCCGCCAGUAUUCUGGCGGGCAUGCCUGUUCGAGCGUCAUUUCAACCAUCAAGCCCCGGGCUUGUGUUGGGGACCUGCGGCUGCCGCAGGCCCUGAAAUGCAGUGGCGGGCUCGCUGUCACUCCGAGCGUAGUAGUUACAUCUCGCUCUGGGCGUGCUGCGGGUUCCGGCCGUUAAAAGCCUUAUUUACCCAAGGUUGACCUCGGAUCAGGUAGGAAGACCCGCUGAACUUAAGCAUA
rnacentral:rRNA from 1 species